rnacentral:tRNA from 1 species
ACCCCGUUUCAGCACGGAGAUCGCGGCCUUGCUGGCGUCGAGGUCGACGGUGGCGACGGCGCCGCCGUACCCCUCGGCGACGGGGUUC